rnacentral:snoRNA from 1 species
UCCUCCAACAAAGGCGUGUCUUUGGUUCCUUGUCUUUGGACACGUAAGAAUUGGAGGCAAAAAAAUUGCGGAUUUGGAGACAUCUGGGGCCAGCUUGCUCCCCGCAGGCUCAAGAUUAACCAUCUCACAUAA